UUAUCCGGAUUUACUGGGUGUAAAGGGAGCGUAGACGGCAAGGCAAGUCUGAUGUGAAAGGCUGGGGCUCAACCCCGGGACUGCAUUGGAAACUGUCCUGCUGGAGUGCCGGAGAGGUAAGCGGAAUUCCUAGUGUAGCGGUGAAAUGCGUAGAUAUUAGGAGGAACACCAGUGGCGAAGGCGGCUUACUGGACGGUAACUGACGUUGAGGCUCGAAAGCGUGGGGAGCAAACAGGAUUAGAUACCCUGGUAGUCCACGCGGUAAACGAUGAAUACUAGGUGUUGGGUGUCACAGACAUUCGGUGCCGCAGCAAACGCAAUAAGUAUUCCACCUGGGGAGUACGUUCGCCAUAAUGAAACUCCAAGGAAUUGACGGGGACCCCCAC
rnacentral:rRNA from 1 species